rnacentral:rRNA from 1 species
GACGAACGCGUGGCGGCGUGCCUUAACGACACUGGCGAAGUCGAACGGCUGAAGUGAUAGCUUGCUAGUUAUGGGAUAGGCCUAGUGGCAAACGGGUGAGUAACGCGUAGGCAACCUGCCCUUCAGAUGGGGACAACACUUCGAAAGAGGUGCUAAUACCGAAUGACGUAUCCAUUCCGCAUGGAUAGGAUACCAAAGGCCGGGCAACCGGUCACUGAAGGAUGGGCCUGCGUCUGAUUAGCUAGUUGGUGGGGUAACGGCUCACCAAGGCGACGAUCAGUAGCCGGUCUGAGAGGAUGAACGGCCACAUUGGGACUGAGACACGGCCCAA